rnacentral:rRNA from 1 species
UACGGAGGGAGCUAGCGUUGUUCGGAAUUACUGGGCGUAAAGCGUACGUAGGCGGUUAUUCAAGUCAGAGGUGAAAGCCCGGGGCUCAACCCCGGAACUGCCUUUGAAACUAGAUAACUUGAAUCUUGGAGAGGCGAGUGGAAUUCCGAGUGUAGAGGUGAAAUUCGUAGAUAUUCGGAAGAACACCAGUGGCGAAGGCGACUCGCUGGACAAGUAUUGACGCUGAGGUACGAAAGCGUGGGGAGCAAACAGG